rnacentral:lncRNA from 1 species
CGAGUGCUCUCCGUUGCCAUGGAGAUGACCCCAGCCGGCAGCCCACACUGACCACACCCUCUGAGGCCCUGCUGGGCGCCUGAGGCUGCUCUGAUUAACUCACAGGUCGGGACUUGUGUGUCAGCCAGCCCUUAGGAAGCGGCUUCUGUUUUGCACUUCAAAGGCGCAUCAGGCAGCUAUCAAAGAUCUUUUUCAGAAAGAAGAGAAACAGUCAAGGCAUGGAUCUCACAGUCCAGAUUGGAGCCAACAAACCUCUGCUGGUCAAAUGAAGCCACAAAGCAGACAAGGAAACUGAGGCUCAAGGACAUUACCUAACAUCUGCAAGGCCACAAAUUGAGAAAACUGGAAAUCAGGUCUAUCCUGUGCUACAUAAGAAUAAGUAGUUGCAAUACAGGCUGAGAGAGGCUGCUGGGCCAUGGUGACCUAACAUGGUCGGAGCUGGGGGAACAUAUUUGCGAUUGCAUCUCACCAUCCCUCCAACCUCCUGCUGUCGCUUUCCAUUGACAAACACAACAGGAAGCCAAGAACAAGGAAGCAGGAAAGCCAGAGGACAAAGUGCGAGCAACGAUGGAGAAGAUGCAGUAACACUGCAGUAAGGUAUGGAUCAUACGUAACUGCAUUGAAAUUUGAACCCUGGUAAUUGAGAUUAUGCUUUCCUUUCACCUAAUAGUCCUUGAAACUGCAAUUAGUGAAAUCUAAGGCUGAGGAAAAAGCCAAUGAGUUUGAACCCUGGCUUAACUUUUUUUUUUGCUCUUUCUAAUAGAAAAUAUGUUCAUUUUUUUCCUACUCAAAUUAUUUAUGCAUUUUCCAUAUUCUGUUCACAUGGCCUGCCUUAUCCAAAUGGGGACCUAUUCUGGCUAUUUAUGAUUUUCCAUAUUAAAAGUAAGAAUUCAUGCUUUUUUUUAGAUCAGACAGAAUUUGAAAUAUUUUUCCUCAAGUGUUUCCAGCCCUUACUUCCAAGAAACUAUCCAGUUUAACCUCAUAGGAACUUUCUGCCUUUUUUCAGUGCCAGAAAAGAAAUGUGAGGUUUCACGAAGUGAAAAUUGCUUUUCCUUCCAUCCAGCUCAUGCCUGCCCUGUGCAGGGGCUUCUUAGACAGGUAACUACUUGCAACUUCCUUUGUUUAAGGAAAUGAGGGUCAAUCCAGUGCUUAGGGUACUACUUGCCUUUGUUCAAGGACUCUCCUUUUAAAAGAGUAACAUGGUGAAGCUUGUGAAGCCUAAUUUUCCCAGGAAUGCAACAUUUGUUUAAAGGUAUUACCGUCAGGAUUUUUUGGUCCUCAGGGUAUAGCAAGUUUCCCUUCUGGUUUUUGUAUGAUGAAUACGAAUGAUCCAGAUGGGGAGUGUAAGUGACAUAACAGCACCAGGACGGAUUGUAAAGGGAUCAGCAACCUAUAAGCUGGUGAAAUGCUACUGUGGCUAAGGAUGGGCCAGGCCUCUUCGCUAAGUGGCUGGCUGCUCUACUAGCUUAGCAUUUAUCCCGUUUACCUCUAUGUUUUUCUAACUUUGUUUGUUUGUUUGUUUUCAUUCCUUGGAGCUGUGAAGGACUGCAAGUGAUAGUUACAAAUAUAACCAAGUAGCUGUGAACGUGGAUUUGUGGCCAUGUUGCUCUGGGAAUUGGAACCCAGCAAUGAAUGUGACCACAGCAAUUGACUUCAAGUCUUUCUCACCUCCUCUUCCCCUUGGAUGUGACAGUUUCUCAGACUCCUCAUUUUUGAUAACCUGGACCGUUUUGAGAAGAACCUGUGAGAAAGCUGUACUUCUGUGUAAUUGCACUUACAGCUUCAUUAUAGCACUUGCAAUCUCAUGUUGAAGAUGUGGAGAGAAGAGAACCUUUAUAGGUUUGUAGCAGGACUGCAAUUAGUGCAAUUAAUGCAGCCAUUGAUGCAUCAAUUAGUGCAGCCAUUAAUGAAAGCAUGAAGGUUUCUCAAAAAAACUUAAACAUAGACCUAGCAUAUGAUCCAGUGCUAGCUCUACAGUAUAUCCGAAAGAAAUGGAAUCGGUAUGGCAAGGAGGCAACUGCACACACACAUCCAUUGCAGCACUAAUCAUGAUACGCAAGUUGGAGAAUCAACCUGUGUUCAUCAAGAGACAGGUAAAGAAAAUGGGCCCAUGUGUGCACAGUGGAAUAUGGUCUGGCUUCCACAGAGAAGAAAACCCGGGCAUUUGCAGGAACGUGGAAGGAAUUGGAUGACCUUAUGUUAAGUGAAAUAAGCCAGGCACAGAGAGACAAGUACCACACCAUCUCAUUUCUCUGUGGACUCUGAAAAUGUCAAACUCGAGGAAGCAGAGCGGAGUGACAGUUACCAGUCAUGGAAGUGGACGUGGGAGCAGGACUGGGGAGACGUCUGUCAAAGGGUGCAAAAUUUCUGUUAGAUGGAAGGAGUGAGUUCAAAAAAUCUGCUGUGGAACAUGGUGAGGACAGCUGAUAACAAUGUGUUGUAUCCUAAGAGCAGUGCAGAUUUUAACUAUUCUCACCCAAAUAAUGGAUAAGUAUGUAAAAUAAUGCAUUUGCAAUUAGUUUGAUUUAGCCACUACACAGUGAAUAUAUAUUUCAGAACCUAUGGUAGAUACCAUAAAUAUAAUACAUUCUUUCAAUUUAAAAAUAAUUUAAAAGAAAAUCUUUGUAUAUUAAGAUAAAAAUAUAUUAAAAACUUUGUUGUAUUAUUAAAUAAAAUAUUUUUGUCUUUAUGGGACAAUCCAAUCAUCGAAUCAUAGGCUCUAUGUACACAGCAAAAUGCUUUUCAAUGCUUUUGUGCCAUAAGCCACAUAGACCCUGGUUCAACAGGACUCAGAGCAGGAACAGUGGAUUCUACUGAAUCAGCUGCAAUUUCUUGAAGAGUUUCAUAGAAAGAUGAACUGAUCAUAUGAACCAAAGAGAAAAGGGGAUAGAAAAAUAAAUUCAUCAUCUUCAGAAGAGUGAAAUAACCUAGCACAUUCAUAUAUUCUAAAAAUUUAUCUUCUAGUUUUCCACAUAUAGACCUUAAUGUUUUAUUAAGUUUACAGCUAAGUAUUUCAUUUUUUUGUGCUGUAGUAAAUAGCACUUCAAAUUUUAAUUAAAAGUAAUGUUUAGAUUCAAAUUGUUGCCUGGUGAAAUAUGGAAAAGCAAUUUUAUACAUUCACCUUAUAUCCCCUGGCCCUGCUAAAUUUACUUAUUAGUUCUAGAAGUCUUUCUGAGACUUAUUUGUGGUUCUAUAAAUAGACAAUCAGGUCAGUGAGAAUAGAGACAAUUUUAAUUCUUCCUUUAAAAUCUGUACCCUUUUAGUUUCCUUCAUGGGACGGCACCAGUUAGGACUUCUAUGAUGUAAAACAGGGUUGAUAAAAGAAGGUAGCGUCCCUUUCUUGAUCAACUUAGAAGGAAAAUGUCUCAUUCUCAGUGUGAGGGAUUAUGUGUGCUAUAGGAAUUUUUGUAGAUAUAUAGAUUUAAGAAGUAGC